GAGGUAAACCGGGCAACCGCAGGAGGUAAAAACCUCCUGAGGAAAGUCCGAGCUCCAUAGAGCAGGGUACUGGGUAACACCCAGUGGGGGUAACCCCAGGAAAGUGCCACAGAAAACAUACCGCCCUCCUUUGGGGGUAAGGGUGAAAAGGUGGGGUAAGAGCCCACCGGACGCCGGGUGACCGGCGUGCCUGGCAAACCCUACCCGGAGCAAGGCCGAAUAGGAAGGGAUGAGGCUGCUCGCUGACCUUCGGGUUGGCCGCUUGAGGAAGCGGGUAACCGCUUCCCCAGAUAGAUGGUUGCCGUUCCUUUCUUCACGGAAGGAAUACAGAACUCGGCUUACAGGUUUACCUCCCCA
rnacentral:RNase_P_RNA from 1 species